UACGGGGGGGGCAAGCGUUGUUCGGAAUUACUGGGCGUAAAGGGCUCGUAGGUGGCCAACUAAGUCGGACGUGAAAUCCCCAGGCUCAACUUGGGAACUGCGUCCGAUACUGGAUGGCUUGAAUUCGGGAGAGGGAUGCAGAAUUCCAGGUGUAGCGGUGAAAUGCGUAGAUAUCGUAAGGAAGACCAGUGGCGAAGGCGGGUCUCUGGACAGUUCCUGACGCUGAGGCACGAAGGUCAGGGGAGCAAACGGG
rnacentral:rRNA from 1 species